AAAAAUAAAAAAAAAACAACCCUCAUAAAAAAACAAAAAAAAAGGAGUGCAAAUGCUCUGCUAGGGUUUUGGAACCCAUUUGUGCGCCGCCGCCACUAGGACGCCCCUUGGCCUCCGACGACACCCCCAGCCUCCGAUUGUGACGGAGAGGGGACACCCUGACGGCACCAGGUAAAAUUCUUUCUCUUUUUCCUUUUUAUUAAGCGAAAAUUAAAAAAAUAAAAUGAAAAAUAGAUUAAAAUUGAAAAAACGAAACUAGGAAUCAAGAACUCCAAAAAAACCACCUUUUGUAUUCGGAAAUCAAUAAGUAAAAAUCUAUUUUCUCUCUGUUUUUUGUAUGUCUAAACCGUAAUUCCCCCCUUACAUACUUAAAAGCGGCUUUUUAUAGCCGAAAUAGAAAGGAGGAAAAAAUAGAAAAAAUCUACAUAAAUCUAUUAUGUUGUUUGUUGGCCCGAUUUUUGUUCUUCUCUUUUGCUAGCUGCAGGUGCUACUGGAGGCGUGUGCGAGAUUCGCGGAGGGCGGCGCGAUCUGCGGAGCGCAAGGAGGACUGCUGGGCGUGGGUGCGACGCGCAUGUAGGGGGUGGUUGCGGCUUGUGCUGAAGCAAAUAGGCUCCUAGGGUUUCUGGUAUUUUGUUUUUGUGUGGGCUAGGUUUAGUAGGUUGGGUCUAGUAUUUGGGCCUAUUUAUUUGUUUGGGCCCGAGCAUUAUUGGGCUUGUACACAUACUUUUGGUACGAAGAGGGAAGUGCUCACAACUCACCACGCAUAACCUAAACGGAUAAUUCGGUUCCACGUACCAGGUAAGUUCAAUUCUGGGUUAAUAAAUACUGCAAUUUAAUGGAAUGAUAAUUUCAAUAAAUUUAGUAUUUUAAAUUUUUUUAUCUCAA
rnacentral:lncRNA from 1 species